UACGUAGGGGGCAAGCGUUGUCCGGAUUUAUUGGGCGUAAAGAGCGUGUAGGCGGUCAGGUAGGUCCGUUGUGAAAACUCGAGGCUCAACCUCGAGACGCCGAUGGAAACCAUCUGACUAGAGUCCGGAAGAGGAGAGUGGAAUUCCUGGUGUAGCGGUGAAAUGCGCAGAUAUCAGGAAGAACACCCGUGGCUAAGGCGGUUCUCUGGGCCUGUACUGACGCUGAGGAGCGAAAGCGUGGGGAGCGAACAGG
rnacentral:rRNA from 1 species